rnacentral:rRNA from 1 species
AUUGAACGCUGGCGGCAUGCCUUACACAUGCAAGUCGAACGGUAACAGGUCUUCGGAUGCUGACGAGUGGCGAACGGGUGAGUAAUACAUCGGAACGUGCCCGAGAGUGGGGGAUAACGAGGCGAAAGCUUUGCUAAUACCGCAUACGAUCUCAGGAUGAAAGCAGGGGACCGCAAGGCCUUGCGCUCACGGAGCGGCCGAUGGCAGAUUAGGUAGUUGGUGGGAUAAAAGCUUACCAAGCCGACGAUCUGUAGCUGGUCUGAGAGGACGACCAGCCAGACUGGGACGGCGACACGGCCCAGACUCCUACGGGAGGCAGCAGUGGGGAAUGUUGGACAAUGGGCGCAAGCCUGAUCCAGCGAUGCCGCGUGCAGGAUGAAGGCCUUCGGGUUGUAAACUGCUUUUGUGCGGAACGAAACGCGCCGGGUUAAUACCUCGGCGUAAUGACGGUACCGUAAGAAUAAGCACCGGCUAACUACGUGCCAGCAGCCGCCGUAACAC